GUUUCGCUGAAUUGACAUGGAACCCUUUUAUAUAUAUUAUAGAUAGAUAUAUUUUAGUGUCAGAAUAUAAUUUUAUGGAAAGCAUAAGAGUGCACAGGAACCUCUGGUGCAAAAUUCAGAGAUUCUGUAGAAAAUAGGAAAAACAUAAAUAUGAAUUAUGAUCAAGUGUAGAAGAAAUAUUUAAGUCGUGUAAAGGCUAAAUUUAAUAAAUUAUAUUCUUUCACCCAACAAAAAUAUGGAAAAAAUAAAUUUAUAUUAUAUUAUAAUUUUAAUAGGUGAGGGGCAACCAACAUAAAAAGUAAAGAUUUACUAUAUGUUGAAGAAUAUUUAAGGUUAAAAGAGAAUGUUGAUAAUAUUACCAAAUAUUCUGAGUCAAGUUUUAAACUGGCACAGACAAAUGCUGCACAAUACCUUAAUGAAAUUGAAAACCCACUUGAUGAUCAAAAUAUUGAAAUUGCUUCAUUUGAGGAUACUAUGACGAGAAUAUAAAAUACAGCGGUGCCCCAUGCUAAAAUGGAAGCUAAAUGAUGGAAACAUAGAAUAGGAAUAUUUUUAUUAAUAUUUAUGGGGUUUUCAUUUUCUUUAUUAGCAAUAUCUUGAUCGGGCUAUUCAAUAAUAAAUAUCAAAUAGAAUAUAAAAUACAGCGGUGCCCCAUGCUAAAAUGGAAGCUUAAUGAUGGAAAUGUAAAUUUAAUUGUUUUAUUUGUAAAAUAUUAUGUCUUACAAAAUAUCACCGGUAUAUAUACAAAAAAUCUUUGUACAAUUUG